GGGAUCUUGGCUCACAAAUGGGGAUUGUGGUCGGCGAGAGGAUGAGAACCCAGAGUUGAGAUUAGGCCCAACGUGGGUCGAAGGAAGAGGAUCCGAAAGUCGACUGAAUGAGCCUAUCAAAUGGUAUCACCCAAUCGCCGAUUCAGGUCGGCCGCUAAUCGAAAGAAAGAUAAAAAAGAUCGGAAGCAAACCGAGGUGAGUGUUCCGUUUACAGACAGUUUUGAGACAGAUUGAUCAUGGGCC
rnacentral:lncRNA from 1 species